GCGGCCCUGAGCGGACCCUGCCCUGCGCCUCCUCCCUCUGCCUGCUCAUCUCCUUCAGAUCCAGAGUCUUCAGGGGACACAGGACUUGGCCGGUCUGUGGUGAAAUCGACCCACGGAGCUACCUUCCCAAAAUUGGUUUGUUUACCCAGGUUGCAUUUUACGAGAAAUAAAGUAAUUGGCAGGGGCCCUGAGGGCCUCCGUAACUCACAUGGGCCUGACCUGGAGGACUGUGCUGACCGCCCUGCCUCGCUCGGGUCUGUCUGCUGAAAAUCAUGCUUGGGUGCGGCCUGAGUGUGAUGAGAACAGGAGCACAUCUCCCUGAGCCUUCGAGAGGAAGGACGUCCCCACUGCUUGGAGGUGGGGGGCUGAGGUCAGGAGAAGGGAGAGGAUCCGAGAUGAGAGAUGUCCCUCCUAACCAGGCUCUUCUGCCACUGGUGUUUUGAAAAUACCAUGAAGCACCCAAGGCGGAGACAGGCUGCCGAGCUCGCUGCUGGCUGCAAGCCGCCGUUUCUCCCCCCUGCUUCCUGUCUGCCCACUGUUGCUCUGCUUCCCUUCAGAGCCCCUCUUGCCUCUGUCGCUGUGGCUCAGGCAGUGCUCCUUGUGUUUCUGAGCUCUCUGACUUUUAAUAUUUGACCUUCGCCGAGACAGAAACCUGGCCAGUCGGAGGGGAGGAUGGACAAUGAGGGCUGGCAUCAGGACAGCGGUUUCUUACCCACAGCAUCUGCAUCCGGUUAUCUUUUAGAGACGAUACCAAAUUUAAACUGCAUAAGACUAGGGUAUUUCUCAGAGCCAAACCAUGUGUUUUGUUUUGAUUUUUUUGCCUUUAAAGGCUAAAGCUGGAUUUUUAAGACUUCUAGAAGAGCAAGAAGGUUGGAAGGAGAGACAGAUGUGCUGGCGGAUCACCAGAGCGUGGAGUUAAUUAUUGUCGCUUGUACAAACCUGUCAAUAUUUUUCUUCUCACAUUAAAACUGCACUCUCUCCCCUUGGCUGUGUCAACGAUAUUAACCCAUUGUGACCCUUGAGAGAAGGAGGCAGGGCUUUAUUCGGGGAGAGAAAUACAAAUGCAAAAUAAACAGGGCUGCAAUGACAGACUGGAUCUCACACACAAUCAUUCUGAAAAUUUGGGCUGGAUGGGAGGUUGGUGAGAAGGCAAGAAAACCCUGACUCAUCACUGUUUUCUGGCGAGGAGCCCUGUGCUUCACUCUGUUUACGGAAUCUCAGGGCUGAAGGGGAACCUUAAGGACUCCCUCUGCCCCCCAUCUUUCCUGCCCCUCACACCCUCAGCAAGGAUCUUUCUCAGGCCUGCUCGGCCACCCCCGGGUCAGGGACACUCUGUGCUGCUGGAGCCGGCCUUCAUUUGAGAGAAGGUCUGUGUUUCUGGAGCUUCCACACUUUGGGACUAGCCUCUCAGAGCUCUGAGGAAAUGGGGAUUACUCAUCUCUGGCAGCCUGUGAUGACCAAGCCUCAAGUCAGGCCAGAACAGAUGGCCUUUUAACCUACCCGGCUCCCAGGAGCACAGGCCAUUCCUUGACCCUAAGCCCCCAACACAGGGGUGUCCACAAUGGGAGGGCUGACCCACAGCCAACAUUAGCAUCCUCCACGCCCCUGCCCUUCUGAGCGUGGACCACGCACCAGCAGCCUCAGUAUCCCCUGGAGCUCAUUGGAGAUGAAGAAUCUGGAGUCCCACCGCGGACCUGCUGAAUCAGAUGCUGCAUUUGAACAAGAUCCAUUGAGCAAAAGCGUUGUCUGCACACUCAUCUGCACGUUCUCCCUUGCCCGUGAGGCUUGUGAAGGGCACUGGCUGACCUUGACCCAUGUGCCUGAUUUGGGGCCCCAGAAUGUUGGUGCAGAGCACUGCUGGGAACCAGUGACCUCGUCCAGGAAAACUGGACUUCCACAGUGGACAUAGUGCUUUCAAGGAGGAAACCUCGAAGGAUGACAAAGACAUCAGGUGAAUGCUUUGAGGAUGUCCCCUUGAGGAGAUGACCUUGGGGACAAGCCCUUAAAUGUGCCCCCAAGACUGGGAGACACAAGCUCAGGAAGGCUGCCGCCCUUCCCCCCAUGCAGGCCCUCAGGCCUAGCUGCUGGGAAGAGGUCCAGCAAUGACUAAGAGGACUGUGAGAUUCUGGAGCCUUUGUAAAUUUCCCAAGCUUGUUGUUAUUGCUCUUAGCCUCUAUUUACUCCUGUAAUUUGUUUCAAAAAAGAUUAAUAGCAGUGCAACCACUUUUCGGGGCUGGCUUCCCAAAGACUGAGGAGGGUGGGGGCAGACAGCAGAAAAGUGGGGAGUCAUGUCUCUCACAGCCCAGCCUGCGACCUGGAGCAGAAGAGCUGGCACCAGUGCAGAGAAGAGGAGAAGGGGUCAGGAGGCGAAGGAAGGGACCCUCGCCGGCCUGGACCGUGCCUCAGGGUUUCGGAGGCAGAAGGACCAUGCGGUUGACUUCUCGGCUCCCGUCCUGGGAGACUAAUGAGUCAUGGCCCUCCCUCUUGCUGAGUGUACGUCCUGGCUUGGACCUCCAGUGCAAUGGUGAACAGUGGGGGAUGUGCACGACUGCGGGGGAAGCGUGUGCUAUUCUGCCGUCAAGCAUAAUGCGGGCUGUAGAACCUUCCUUUAUUCCCAGUUUGCUGAGAAUUGUCAUUUUUACCAGGAAUGGAUACUGAAUUUUGCCAAAUGUUUUUUCCAACUUCUAUUGAGAUGAUUAUAUGAUUUUUCUUCUCUGUUCUGUUAAUAUAGUGGAUUACAUUGAAUGUGAAUGUUAAAUCAAUCUUACGUUUAUGACGAG